GACUUUGCUAUGCUUAAUGCUUGUCACUAGGGCCUGAGUGCCAUGAUUUCAGAUCUGAAAUCAUGGCACUCAGGCCCUAGUGACAAGCAUUAAGCAUAGCAAAGNNNNN
rnacentral:pre_miRNA from 1 species